CACCGUAAAAACACUGCAGAAGCUCUGCCCAAUAGCUGAAUGGUGUUUUUAGAAGAUUUGUUUCAAUAGAACCAGCUACAAGCAGCCAAGUGUCCUUCAUCUUUUCCUUAGGUAUUCCUGGUGUCUUCGGGAAGACAAGCUGAAUGUGGCCCACAGGGAAUGGGACAGUGUCAGUGAAUUUGACUGGGAGACAUGAGAGAAAAAUUAAUGAAUAAAACGAAGCAGUCGUAAUUCAUCCUGGCUCCAGAAGCCUGUUCUUGAGACAGAGUUCUAGGGGAAGGAGAGUACCGGGAAGCCCCUGUAGCGGGUGAGCUGAGGGUUCAGGAACAUGAGUGUGGCUGUGAGGAAAUAAAGACCCCAUCUGUAUUAGUAA